GCACCGGUGGUCUAGUGGCAGGACAUAAGCUUCCCAAGCUUAUAGCCCGGGUUCAACUCCCGGUCGGUGCA
rfam:Haladaptatus sp. R4 NODE_1_length_1088768_cov_27.0371_ID_1025, whole genome shotgun sequence.